CAUGGGCGUGAUAAGUGAGCAUUUGUGUACGUGGCGAACCCGUUUUUCGGCAAAUUUCAUCAACGUAAAGGCAUAGUUGUGCGAACCCAAUGCAUGCUCCUUGUGCAAACUGAGUGUGAAAGAAUUCCGGACAAGCCUGUCAUCAAUGGUGGCUCGUGGAAAAGUUGGCUACUGAAUGUACAGCAGCUGCGCAUGGCUUCUGUUUCCUAUGUAAAAGGACCUACACAGAGCCACGUGGCUGCAGUAUUCAAUUAUCUCGCAUGUUCAGGGUGCUCAAAACUAAUCCCUUUGUUUUUCUUUUGAAAAUUCAAUGCUCUGUAGUAUGCAUGUAAGAUCUACUCUUGCAGAUAGCUAUGUGUAUAGGCGGAAACAAGAUGCAACAAUAGUUAUCAGCGUCAGCCGUGUCAUUGAAUAAGAUUUGAUGUUGAACCUAAUAAAGACGGCAGGAGGCCCCCAUUGAUGUAAUAAAAAAU